UACAGAGGUCUCAAGCGUUAUCCGGAUUCACUGGGUUUAAAGGGUGCGUAGGCGGAAUGAUAAGUCAGUGGUGAAAGCCCCGAGCUCAACUUGGGAAUUGCCAUUGAUACUGUUGUUCUUGAGUUCGGUUGAGGUAGGCGGAAUGUUGCAUGUAGCGGUGAAAUGCUUAGAUAUGCAACAGAACACCGAUGGCGAAGGCAGCUUACCAAGCCGACACUGACGCUGAUGCACGAAAGCGUGGGGAUCAAACAGG
rnacentral:rRNA from 1 species